rnacentral:rRNA from 1 species
UACGUAGGGUGCGAGCGUGUCCGGAAUUAUUGGGCGUAAAGAGCUUGUAGGCGGUUUGUCGCGUCUGCCGUGAAAAUUCGAGGCUCAACCUCGAACUUGCGGUGGGUACGGGCAGACUAGAGUGUGGUAGGGGAGCUGGAAUUCCUGGUGUAGCGGUGGAAAUGCGCAGAUAUCAGGAGGAACACCGGUGGCGAAGGCGGGACUCUGGGCCGAUACUGACGUGAGGAGCGAAAGCGUGGGGAGCAAACAGG